rnacentral:rRNA from 1 species
CCUACGGGAGGCAGCAGUGGGGAAUCUUGCGCAAUGGGCGAAAGCCUGACGCAGCAACGCCGCGUGCGGGAUGAAGGCCUUCGGGUUGUAAACCGCUUUCAGCAGGGAAGAAAUUGACGGUACCUGCAGAAGAAGCCCCGGCCAACUACGUGCCAGCAGCCGCGGUAACACGUAGGGGGCGAGCGUUGUCCGGAUUUAUUGGGCGUAAAGAGCUCGUAGGCGGUUCGGUAAGUCGGGUGUGAAACCUCCAGGCUCAACCUGGAGACGCCACCUGAAACUGCUGUGACUAGAGUCCGGUAGGGGAGUGUGGAACUCCUGGUGUAGCGGUGAAAUGCGCAGAUAUCAGGAAGAACACCAGCGGCGAAGGCGGCACUCUGGGCCGGUACUGACGCUGAGGAGCGAAAGCGUGGGUAGCAAACAGGAUUAGAUACCCUGGUAGUCCACGCCGUAAACGUUGGGCACUAGGUGUGGGUCUCAACCAACGAGAUCCGUGCCGCAGCUACGACAUAAGUACGCCCGCCGUCGGGUAGGUACGGCCGCGACGGACGUAAACUACAAGAAGUAGACGGCGUGAGACGUGCCGAACGGACGACGACGAGGGAGGUAGG